AAAACAUCUCCUUUUGACAUAUUUAAGGUACCGUCUGCUCAAUGCAAUUUGUAAAUAGCCGCAGUAUUCUGACUGUGCUAAGGUAGCAUAAUCAUUAGUCUUUUAAUUGGAGGCUGGUAUGAAUGACGAGACGAGAAAAUGACUGUCUCUAUAAUAAACUUUGAAUUUCAUUUCUGAGUGAAAAAGCUCAGAUAAUUUUGAAGGACGAUCAGACCCUUUGGAGCUUUAUUUACUUUAAAAAUUUGAAUUUGUUUUAAUUGAUUGAAUGGAAAGUAAAUUUUGUUGGGGCGACAGGGAGUAAAAUAUAACACUCUUUUUUUAAAACAAUCCUAAUUGGAAAAUUGAUCCUUAGAGUGAGAUUACAAGACUAAGUUACCCUAGGGAUAACAGCGUAAUCUUAAGGAGAGUUCAAAUCGAUAAAAAGGCCGGACCUCGCCU
rnacentral:rRNA from 1 species